UUAGUGACUUUGAACUAUGCAAGACAGUAUGAUUAACUCUUGUCACCUUGAUGUACAUGCCAUCCCCAGACAUUUAUUUUAUAGUUGGAAGUUUGUACGUUUUGAUUCCCUUCACCCAUUUCAUCCACCUCCACCCCUGCCUCUUGCACCCACUGGUUUGUUCUCUAUUUCUCCUCUUUUGCUGCCCAUUCGACACUCACACUCCCUCCUGGGAAAUGCUGCUCCAUGUGUUGUCUGAGGAUCCGCUGUUCCUGCUGCCUCUCUGAUAAGAUCGGGAACCACUGAGGCAGCCCCAGCCUGGCUAGAAGUAAACCAGUCCUUCGCCCCAAGAGGGAGAGGAGGCCCCGGUGCUCCGGUCGUGCUCACAGGCACCAGCUGCUGCCCAUUCAGGUCCUUGACCAUCAGGGCACGAUUUUGGCGCAGCCAGGCCCGCAAUCCUUGCCAAACUCCGUGUUGAAAGAACUUGAGACUUUUAAGUCGUGUGACUUCUUUGGCAGAAGAGAUUCCAAGCCGAGGAAACGGUCGGCAGAGCUCUUGCUCAAAACCGUGCGCUUGUCUCAGAUACACAUUUGAGCUCCAUGGACUGUUUUAUUCCUUUAAGGAAAAGAGACGUGUAUUAUUUUUGGAGACUAUUUUAAGCCCUGCAACAAAGCGAAAAGCCGAAGAAUCUGGCCUCUUGUGAAGGAUCAAACUUACAUUAAAAACAAAAACAAAAACAAAAAACAAACCCACAAACUUUGCCAGCUUCCUAUUCCAAUUGCUCAGACCUUUUCAUAUAGGAUUAGGACUGUUUGAUUUUGGAAUGGAAAAUUAUUUUACCCUUCCCCCCAUUAUUUCCCUGAACCUUCAUCAUAGCAUACCAUUUAUGACAUAGGCAGGAAAUGAAUGCUGUCCAUCCUGUUUUAAAAAAUGAAAGAUGCUUUAGGAUUAAUUGUCAAGGACAGAGCUCUCUCUUGUAAUCUGGAAGAAUAUUAAGCAAUUUAGCCAAUUCUUUUCCCUGAAUGUAUUUGUUUUUCAUAAAUUCUAGGAUAAUUUGAAUUAGAAAUAAA